AAAGAAAUGGAGAUGGAGUGGAUGCAUAUUUCGGGGGACAGAACCAGCUUCAGUCCUGACAGUCCAAGCUCUGGAGUUGCUGUUGGUCUCUGCCUUCCCUGUAGGCUUGCUGCUGGGGCCCACCUCCUCAAGGAAGCAAUGUGGCUGGCCACAAACUCAGGAUCCCUCUGGCUGUCUCUCGUGAAGUGAAUAUGAGGAGCUGACCAGGGAAGCAGGAAACAAAUGAACAGCACUCUAGCUCCCUCCACACAUCAGCAGGAUGACUGUCUGUGUAACUCAUUCUACUAACCAUGUAAACCCACUGGGGAAAAAAGCCAUCUUUUCUGAGAGCAGAAAAGUCCCAAGGAGAAAUUGGAUUGAUUCAACUUUGCCACCUUUCACCUUUCUUUGUGGUCAAGAAUAUGUGAUGCCAUGAUGGCAUAGACCCUGCACAUCUACUUCUGUCUGUGGAUUUUUGGGAAAGGUCUGUGUUAAACAAAAUGCAGAGAACUGGCUUUCUGAAGAAUGUCAGAUUUCUAUACACUGACAGGUAAAAAUGGGCAGGGCUAUCUGAACCUUAACAUACAUCAAGAAAGGGGUGGGUGCAGAGCGAGUAGAGCCAAUAGACACCAACCACAAUCAGCGUGACUGUCUUCUGCAAAGGAAGACUGGUAGACCAAGUGUCAUGAUUCUGGAUCUUCAACUUAGAAGCACAAGCAGGAUAAAAUAAAUCCUUUCUGUGUAUGUCUUUUGUAAUUUUUAUUCUACCUUCAGAAACCUUUGGACUUAAAUCUUGACACUGCCUAAUGCCUUAUAAGCACAGUUCCCUAAAGUGGUGAUCAGUUCACAGGUAAGAAGUAAGGAAAUAAAUGAUCAUGCCUUGAGAAAAGUUUGCCAGAGUUGCAUUAAUUUAUAAACAACCAACCAAUUAAACAAUAUAGUAGUACCUCUGACUUAACUCAGUAGCUCCGGUUUGUACUGGGGAAGGUGGCGGGGCUCUUCACUUCUAGCGGGCACAGGUAGCCAUUUUGCUGGUUAACCAUGGGGAAAAGAAACAGAAGGCAGAAUGAAUGAAAGAUUCUCCAGCAAGCUGUGAUGAUCAGACUUUCUCCAGCUGUGACGCCUGUGAGAUUAAAGGACAGAAUAGAGCUUGAUCCCCACUCAAGAGCACUUAACAGUGUGUAUGCUCACAGGUGGUUAGAAUUGGAAGGAUUUGGGGGCAUUCCUUAAUCCAAUGCUUUACAGAUAAGGAAAGUGAGAUUUAGGGAGGACAAAUGCUGAGGUCUAGAUUAUGCUACAAAGGAAGAGCUGAACCAGAACUCAAGCCUGAUAUUUCUUACGCCCCAAAUGUCCAUCACUGUGUGGUAAGUUCCCUUUGGUUUUGUACUCAAAGAUUUUGUUAAAAUUUUUUGAGUUACAGAAAUUUUCCAUUAGGAAAUUGCAUUUAAUUUAAACUUUACAAGAAGUACAGAGAAAAGAAAUAAGUAGCCAUUUCAAUACUUUAGAACCAAUGCCCUGCAAAGAAAGAGAGGAUAGCCUGCAGUUUCUCAAACCCAGAAAAAUCAAACUAUAAUUUAUGAGUCCUUGAAAGAGGUGAGAAGAUAUAAAUUACGCUUACUUUCUUUACUUACGUUUGGUUAAUACAAGGGGAUUUGGGAAUUAAAAUUCUACCUGGAUCUGGGUCUUGAUGGGCAAUUUUAGACAAGAUACACUCUAGACUUUAAUUUCCUCAUUUUCAAUUUAGUUCGUUGUUAAGACUUUGGCCACCCUUAGGCUUCAGAGAUUCUAAAACCAGAUCUAUUCUGAGUGCCAUAAUGAAGGAAGGAAUCUCGGUAGAGGGGCUCUGCAUAAAACCUGCUGCAUACGCAAGGCAAAUGCCUCCCCUACUAACAUGGCAAAAACGAGCACAGGCCCAGGGUCAAGAUGCUUUGUUUCCCUUCAUGCCUUGACCUUGAGGACAAUUCUUUUACUUUCUCUAGGUCUUAAAAUUAAUCUAAAAAGAGAGCCACACCUGCUCAUGUUUGCGUCAGAGAGCUAUGGCAGAAGACAAAGGAAGUCGAAGUGCCUUGUCAUAUGCAGACUCAGGCAAUAUAGACUUAGUCCUUGAUGACCAGAACAAUGUAAAAAGAAUAUGUGGAGUCGCUCACAAGUGGCUAAUAUGACACUUUUUCACUGAAUUUUCUUUUUCUCAAGAUUUUGUUUCCUCUAUAAUAGUGCAUGUUGAAGCAGUGCUCGAUCAGAUGUGUACACCCACCUUCCCGGAACAGUCCCAUCAGUAACAGCCAUCGUGGUAUAAUUGCUACUAAUACAAAUUUUUGUUCUUAAAGGAGUUUCUGUCUGGCAAUAAAUUAAACCGUUAUCCUAAACAUAAAUCUCAUUCUGUCUGAACUCUUCGUUUUAUUUUUGGGAAAUGACGACUCACAGAAGAAAAAUGACUUCUAAAUUCACUCCAUCUGCCCAGAGCCCAGACUGGCAAACCCCUUCUCUUUGUACCUGGGAAGGAAGGAGAGGGGAUAAAAGGAGAGAAUGGCUCCUUUGUUUGCUAUGAAUUUCCUUGAAACAACUCCUCAGCAGGAGCCAGUGCCCCAUCCAACUCUUGAUUUCCUGGAAAGUGAUCAGUGGUAGUGUGGGUACCACUGGCCAUGAUGGAGCUGAAGAUUGAGUGAACAUUACAGGAACCUGGAAAGGGGCAUUUUUUUCCUUCUGUACCCAAGAGAAUAAGCCGAGAGGGAGAAAUACUGUAUUAAUAAAUAGUGUUUCCUUGU